CAGCCCUUGUGAUACCAAAAGCUAUUUCAAAUGCUGGUUUAGAUGCUUCUCAGAUUGAUUACUAUGAAAUAAAUGAAGCAUUUUCUGUUGUAGCUCUAGCCAAUCAAAAGAUGCUUGGUCUUAAUCUUGUGAGUUUGGAGAAAACUAGAUAAUUUCGUUCAAGUUGAUUUACUUUAUAUGCUUACAGGUGGAAACUAGCUUAAGUCUUGUGUUCUUAAUAAUAAAAGGACUUUUUUU